GGUUAUGCAAAUGUCACUGAAUUCCUCAUCGAACAUGGUGCCGAUGUCAAUGCUGCAGAAUCAAGUAAAAGUACACCACUCCAUUUCGCUGUAAACAAGGAUCAUAUGAUCGUCGCAGAAAUACUCAUCAAACACCGUGCUAACGUCAAUGCUACAAAUAAUAAGGGAAGUGCUCCACUUCAUUUCGCAGCGAAAAAUGGUUAUGUAAAUGCCACCGAGUUCCUUAUCAAACACGGCGCCGAUGUCAAUACGAAAACGCUAAAAGAAUAUACGCCACUUCAUUUCGCAGCGCUAAAUGGU